GAAAAAAUUAGAUACAUUUGACUGUGUCAAAAUGUAAAACUUUAAGCUGGGUGCAGUGGCAUAAGCCUGUAACCAUACCUACUUGGGAGGCUGAGGCAGGAGGAUUGUGCAUUCAAGGUCAGGUUGAGUGACAUAGUAAGACCUCAUUUCAAAAAAAAAAAAAUUAAAACGUUUGUGUGUCAAAUACACUAGCAACAGAGUGAAAAUGCAGCCUCUCCAAUAAUGUAUUUAUAAAGUAUAUAUAUGUAUAUUGAUAUUAAUAUUGAGAAUGUAAAAAUAACUCCCAUAGCUCAAUUAAAAAGACAAUCUCAGUUCAAAAAUGGGCAUGAUGGUGCAUGCCUGUAAUCUCAGCACUCUGGAGGCUGAGGCAGGAAGAUGACUUGAACUGAGAAGUUUUCUAACCACCUGGGCAACAAAGCAACACCUCAUUUUUUUUCAGUACUGGAGAUUGAACCUACCCAGCGCUAGGCAGGCUCUGUGCCACUGAGCUACAUCCCUGACCCCUGCAACACACCCAUAUUUUAAAAAAUGGGCACAGGACUUGAACAGACAUUACUCCAAGUGGCAGACCACAAACAAUAAAGACUUCCAAGUCUCCUUGGAUCCGUGUAACAGAAAAUUGUUCGAUGUGGUGGGCAGAAGGCCCGGAAGCUGUGGCUGGCCUGGGAGAGUGACUGGCCCGAGCUUCCCCUCCCGACCACCCUGCAGAAGAGAAGUCACCGUCCCUGCAUGGCAGAGCUGUGUUACUACCAAACACAAGUGCGAGGAAGGCUUUUUCUCUGCCAGGGUAACUGCACGGAGCCUUCACUUCUCCCUGCCGUGGACAGCCAGCCGGCCAGGCUCCUCGGAGCUCUCAGUUCGGCCUUGACCUUGGCCCCUGUCCUCGCUAACCGGGUG
rnacentral:lncRNA from 1 species